CUGUGGUAAUUCUAGAGCUAAUACAUGCUUCAAUAUUUCCGACCUUAACGGGGAGGAAGGCUUUUAUUAGACCAGAACCUAUUCGGUGCCGCGGGUUCGCGCUCGCGAGUGCCGGUUUCUUGGUGACUCUGAAUAACUUUGGGCUGAUCGCACGGUCUUUGCACCGGCGACGGGUCUUUCAAAUGUCUGACUUAUCAACUGUCGAUGGUAGGUUAUGCGCCUACCAUGGUUGUCACGGGUAACGGGGAAUCAGGGUUCGAUUCCGGAGAGGGAGCCUGAGAAACGGCUACCACAUCCAAGGAAGGCAGCAGGCGCGCAAAUUACCCACUCCCGGCACGGGGAGGUAGUGACGAAAAAUAACAAUACGGGACUCAUCCGAGGCCCCGUAAUUGGAAUGAGUACACUUUAAAUCCUUUAACGAGGAUCCAUUGGAGGGCAAGUCUGGUGCCAGCAGCCGCGGUAAUUCCAGCUCCAAUAGCGUAUAUUAAAGUUGCUGCGGUUAAAAAGCUCGUAGUUGGAUCCCAGUUGCAGACGGGCGGUCCGCCUCAUGGCGGUUCACUGCCCCGUUCUCGACAUACCUCCGGUUAUAUUUGUCCCGCGAUGCUCUUUACCGGGUGUCGCGGGGGGCCGGUACGUUUACUUUGAAAAAAUUAGAGUGCUCAAAGCAGGCGAUGGCCAGAAUAAUGGUGCAUGGAAUAAUGGAAUAGGACCUCGGUUCUAUCUUGUUGGUUCUUCGGAACACGAGGUAAUGAUUAAUAGGGACGGACGGGGGCAUUCGUAUUGCGACGUUAGAGGUGAAAUUCUUGGAUCGUCGCAAGACGAACUACUGCGAAAGCAUUUGCCAAGAAUGUUUUCGUUAAUCAAGAACGAAAGUUAGAGGUUCGAAAGGCGAUCAGAUACCGCCCUAGUUCUAACCAUAAACGAUGCCAACCAGCGAUCCGUCGGCGUUACUUCGAAUGACCCGACGAGCAGCUUCCGGGAAACCAAAGUUUCUGGGUUCCGGGGGAAGUAUGGUUGCAAAGCCGAAACUUAAAGGAAUUGACGGAAGGGCACCACCAGGAGUGGAGCCUGCGGCUUAAUUUGACUCAACACGGGAAACCUCACCAGGCCCGGACACUUGGAGGAUUGACAGAUUGAGAGCUCUUUCUUGAUUCAGUGGGUGGUGGUGCAUGGCCGUUCUUAGUUGGUGGAGCGAUUUGUCUGGUUAAUUCCGAUAACGAACGAGACCCUUUCCUGCUAAAUAGGCAGAAGAUCCUCAUGUAGUGUCUGACGUUCUU
rnacentral:rRNA from 1 species